rnacentral:rRNA from 1 species
UACAGAGGGUGCGAGCGUUGUCCGGAAUCACUGGGCGUAAAGGGCGCGUAGGUGGUGGCUUAAGCGUGCGGUGAAAGCUCGGGGCUCAACCCCGAGUCGGCCGUGCGAACUGGGCUCACUGGAGCAUAGUAGAGGCAGGUGGAAUUCCUGGUGUAGCGGUGAAAUGCGCAGAUAUCAGGAGGAACACCGGUGGCGAAGGCGGGUCUCUGGGCAACAACUGACGCUGAGGAGCGAAAGCGUGGGGGAGCGAACAGG